rnacentral:rRNA from 1 species
AAACUGACUUUCUACCUGGGUACUACGAACAUUGUUUAAAACCCAAAGGGCUUGGCGGCCUUCAAUAGUACUAGGGGAACCUGUGUGGUAAUCGACACUCCACGUUAAUUCUCACCUUCUCUUGAAACUCUCAGUAUGUAUACCUCCGUCUUAACUCACCUUUAAGAGCCUUGGAGUGAGUAAGAAGUAAAUAACUACUCCAUGACAGGUCAAGGUGCAGCCUAUGAGAAGGGUCAUCAUGGGUGACAAUUCACUAAAAGAUCAAUGGACUUCCCUUGGAAACAAGGGAACGAAAAUGGACUUAGAAGUAAAGGUAUCUUUAGAAAAAUACCUUGAAAUACUCCCUAGAAGGUGCACACACCGCCCGUCGCUCUCGGAUCCCGAAUCGA